rnacentral:RNase_P_RNA from 1 species
UGCUGGUUUGUCGCUCGCUUAUUAAGCGUGAGGAAAGUCCGGGCAACACAGAGCGCCAUACUUCUUAACGGGAAGCUGUCCGUGAGGGCAGAGUAGCGUAACAGAAAAUAACCGCCGGCCUUGGUCGGUAAGGGUGAAAAGGCGAGGUAAGAGCUCACCGGUCUCGUAGUGAUAGGAGACGCAGUACGUCUUAUGGGUUGUAAGGUCAUGUAUAUCGGCGCAGUAGGGCGGCUCGUCCGAUGCCGAGGGGUAGACCGCUAAAGCUUAUCGGUGACGGUAAGACAAGAUAAAUGGCAGACACUUCCUUUUCCGCAAGGUCAGGAAGUACAGGACCCGGCUUAUAGGCAGGCUGU